rnacentral:rRNA from 1 species
CCUACGGGGGGCAGCAGUGGGGAAUAUUGCGCAAUGGGCGAAAGCCUGACGCAGCGACGCCGCGUGAGGGAUGAAGGUCUUCGGAUCGUAAACCUCUGUCAGCAGGGAAGAACGGUCACUGUGCUAAUCAGCAGUGAAUUGACGGUACCUGCAAAGGAAGCACCGGCUAACUCCGUGCCAGCAGCCGCGGUAAUACGGAGGGUGCGAGCGUUAAUCGGAAUUACUGGGCGUAAGGCGCUCGUAGGCGGUAUGUCAAGUCAAGGGUGAAAGCCCCGCGCUCAACGUGGGAACUGCCUUUGAAACUGGCAAACUGGAGUGUGUGAGAGGAUAGUGGAAUUCCAGGUGUAGGGGUGAAAUCCGUAGAUAUCUGGAGGAACAUCAGUGGCGAAGGCGACUAUCUGGCACAUAACUGACGCUGAGGAGCGAAAGCGUGGGUAGCAAACAGGAUUAGAUACCCCAGUAGUC